GAUGAACGCUAGCGGCAGGCUUAAUACAUGCAAGUCGAGGGGCAGCACGUCUUCGGAUGGUGGCGACCGGCAAACGGGUGCGGAACACGUACACGACUUACCUUCUGGUGGGGGAUAGCCUUUGGAAACGGAGAUUAAUACCCCAUAUUAUAUAUGAGCUGCAUGGUUUGUAUAUUAAAGAUUUAUUGCCGGAAGAUGGGUGUGCGUAUGAUUAGGUAGUUGGCGGGGUAACGGCCCACCAAGCCGACGAUCAUUAACUGGUGUGAGAGCACGACCAGUCACACGGGCACUGAGACACGGGCCCGACUCCUACGGGAGGCAGCAGUAAGGAAUAUUGGUCAAUGGACGGAAGUCUGAACCAGCCAUGCCGCGUGGAGGAUGAAGGUCCUCUGGAUUGUAAACUUCUUUUAUAGGGGGCGAAAAAAGGGAAUUCUUUCUCGUCUGACGGUAACCUAUGAAUAAGCACCGGCUAACUCCGUGCCAGCCGCCGCCGUAACAC
rnacentral:rRNA from 1 species